rnacentral:rRNA from 1 species
CACCGCGGUUAUACGAGAGGCUCAAGUUAAUAUAACUCGGCGUAAUGUGUGGUUAUAAGUAUUCCAUAAAUAGGACCGAAUAAUCUCAAAGCAGUUAUACGCAUUCGCGACCAAGAAGACCAGUCACGAAAGUAGUCCUAACAUAUUUAAAUCCACGAAAGCCAAAACA